rnacentral:rRNA from 1 species
CCUACGGGGGGCAGCAGUGAGGAAUAUUGGUCAAUGGACGAGAGUCUGAACCAGCCAAGUAGCGUGAAGGAUGACUGCCCUAGGGGUUGUAAACUUCUUUUAUAUGGGAAUAAAAUGUUCCACGUGUGGGAUUUUGUAUGUACCAUAUGAAUAAGGAUCGGCUAACUCCGUGCCAGCAGCCGCGGUAAUACGGAGGAUCCGAGCGUUAUCCGGAUUUAUUGGGUUUAAAGGGAGCGUAGGUGGAUUGUUAAGUCAGUUGUGAAAGUUUGCGGCUCAACCGUAAAAUUGCAGUUGAAACUGGCAGUCUUGAGUACAGUAGAGGUGAGCGGAAUUCGUGGUGUAGCGGUGAAAUGCUUAGAUAUCACGAAGAACUCCGAUUGCGAAGGCAGUUCACUGGACUGCAACUGACACUGAGGCUCGAAAGUGUGGGUAUCAAACAGGAUUAGAUACCCCUGUAGUC